GGCUGGGUAAGCAUUUUCUUGCAGUCUGUUUGUUUUGGCCUGCAGUGGUUUUCUGAGCAGCUGUAAGAGAUCCCGAUAGAAGGCGCAAACACACCCAUUCCACAGCGGCCGUCUCUCCCAAGGCUGUCCUUUGUAUCCGGAGACUGAAAAACUCGUAAGCCUUUGAGGACUUUUCUGAAGAUCCCAUGGUAGCUGGUCUACCCUGAGCUUUGAAUUUUCUUGGAGUUUUACAUUCAAAAGUGGAAGAUCAGCUUUUCAUCACGGAGCUGGAAGGAGUGGUUUAGUUUCUGCACAUUUGGAAACUGAAAUUGAGAACCUUAAGCCAUUUGCCUGAAGUUUACACAGUUUAGUCAGGACGGGAACAGAAAUGAAAAACUCUGAAGUUUCCUGGUUUAUUAGCACAACGAAAGCUCUGCCCACAAGAAGGAAAGUUCAGUUCAGAUUCUCUCUAACUUUAAGAACCUGGAUGAAUGUAUCAAUUUUAGUUGAGAAACGGCUCAUCAGGAUAACCUUAUCAUUCUCAAGGGAACAUAAUUUUAAGGGGAUACCUUUGGAAUAACUUGAUUUUCAACCAUAAUGCUCAUUCUUCAUGAGUCUCAUGGGGCAGGGGUGUGUGUGUGUGUGAAGAUUUUCCUUGCAUGAAAUAUUUGAACAUUUUCGUAUUUAAUACUCCUUUUAACCAUAAAUGCACUUACUUGAGAAUAAGACAAGCACUGUAGGGCAAGUCAGUCACUCAAGCCCUUUGCAGGGACGGCCGCAUACAUGUAAGUGAGGCCAUAAACCAAAGAAGGGGAUAACAGAGUGGGGACACGGUCUCCAUGGUGCUUAAUAGUUGACACAGUGCCUUCACACGUGUUACCAAACUGAUCCCCAGCACGGUUUUGCAGAAGUGGGAAGAACAGGGAUAAGGACUGCCAGAAAACAAAACCAAAGCUCCGUGAUCCUGGGUGACUUACCCAGCACAGCCUGGUGCCGAACUGGGACUCAACCCCAGGCUUUCGCUCCAAGCGCACCACUCAUCUCAGUACCUCCUGAUGCACGCGUGACCCAGGGUCUGCCAGUGUCUCAGGGCUCCCCAAGUGUCUGUUACCCUGGACGCCCGACAUGCCGCAGGACACCCUAAGCUAAAGGAAGCUGCGGCAACCCAGUUUUGUCCUUUCACUCUGUGAAGAAGAUGAGCUUGGGGGCUAUCCCCAACAUUUCUUUGGAUUUUUGCUAACAAAGGAAAGAAUAGUAUUAAAACAAAGCAAUGCAUAUCUAAGCCUGGUGAUGAUACUGCACAUAUACUCUGUCUUAAAGAACGCCCAUAAAAACCAAAUCUGAAUGGAUAAAGCUGAUCAAACAGACAGGUUUCAUUUUAAUUAUAAAAGCAUUCUUUACAACUGGAGCUACAGUUGAGUUUCAUUACACAGCAAGCUCCUGAUGUGAACUGUAAAGGAUCUCCUUUACAAAAAUGAAACAAGAAAGAUUGUACACCUUGGCUUUUUAGGAGCCCACUUGUUGCAUGAAACAAAGAACAACUGGACUGUCGUUAACCCAUGUACUUUCACCACACCCUCCUCUACUUUCCAACUGGGAUCUCAGGGUGCUUUUUCAGCUGGCCCCUCGGGGUGAUUGCAAUAUCCUGAUUUUUCAGAGCAGGCACUGGUGACAUGAAGGUCUCUUGUUGAAGUGACCCAGGUAAGUCACAGUCACCAGGGUAAGCCAGCAGGUUGGGGAUAUGAGAAUUUUGUUUAUUUCUUCACCUGCCAGAGCUGCCAUUCUUUCAUAAAGCAUAAACGCUGUGCCUUUUGAGAAUACCUGCAACAAUACCUGUAAGUCAGACCGACGAUAUCAAUCACAGGCCACCACCCUAGGGAUGCUUUGAAGCUACAAGAGGGUUGGGAGACCUUCUUGUUUGUUAAGCAUGAAAUGUCAUAAAAAUUCCAAAGCAGGACUCAAAUUUCCAGGGGGAAGGGACCUCUUUAUUGUUUCCUCUAAUAGCUGCUUUGGUGCUUUAGUGAAUAAAUGUGUUGCUCAAAA